GAUCUGGUGGCCUAGUGGUUAAAGAUUCCGCCUCUGAUGCGGGAGGUAGAGGAUUCGAACCCCAUCCGAGUCA